rnacentral:rRNA from 1 species
GUGGGGAAUUUUGGACAAUGGGCGCAAGCCUGAUCCAGCAAUGCCGCGUGCAGGAAGAAGGCCUUCGGGUUGUAAACUGCUUUUGUACGGAACGAAACGGUCCUGGUUAAUACCUGGGGCUAAUGACGGUACCGUAAGAAUAAGCACCGGCUAACUACGUGCCAGCAGCCGCGGUAAUACGUAGGGUGCGAGCGUUAAUCGGAAUUACUGGGCGUAAAGCGUGCGCAGGCGGUGCUGUAAGACAGGCGUGAAAUCCCCGGGCUCAACCUGGGAAUUGCGCUUGUGACUGCAGUGCUGGAGUACGGCAGAGGGGGAUGGAAUUCCGCGUGUAGCAGUGAAAUGCGUAGAUAUGCGGAGGAACACCGAUGGCGAAGGCAGUCCCCUGGGCCUGUACUGACGCUCAUGCACGAAAGCGUGGGGAGCAAACAGGAUUAGAUACCCUUGUAGUCC